GCAAAAUUGGUGAACCUUGAAAAAGAGGAUUAAUUAUGCAUUGUAUGAAGAGCUUGAUGCAGAAUAUGUGGAGCACACAAGAGAUGUGUAUGGGGAGUGUCUGAAGCAAAUUCCUCAUGAGAGAUUCUCUUUUGCAAAAUUAUGGCUUCUAGCUGCUCAAUUUGAGGUCCGGCAGCUAAAUCUCAAGGCUGCACGACAAAUCCUGGGAAAUGCAAUUGGCAUAGCUCCUAAAGAUAAGAUAUUCAACAAGUAUAUUGAGAUAGAGCUUUAGCUUGGAAAUAUAGACCGUGGCUGAAAGCUUUGUGAGAAGUAUUUGGAGUGGGCGCCUGAAAACUGUUAUGCAUGGAGCAAGUAUGCGGAGUUAGAGAGAUCUUUGUGUGCGACUAAGCGACCUAGGGCAAUCUUUGAGCUUGCAAUUGCCCAACCAGCACUGGAUAUGCCGGAGUUAUUGUGGAAGAACAUCUGCACCUGAGUAAAAAGAGGAAAGAGCAAUGCUACUGGAAUGGUGGCUGAACAUGGAGAGCAGUUUUGGGGAGCUUGGUGAUAUUAGUUUAGUCCAGGCUAAGCUGCCAAAGAAGCUGAAAAAGAGGAGGCAGAUGGUGUAUGAGGAUGGUCCGGCUGGGUAUGAGGAAUACAUCAAUUAUAUGUUCCCUGAGGAAGCUCAGACGACUAAUCUUAAAAUCUUGGAAGCUGCCUAUAAGUGGAAGAAGCAAAAGAUUUCUGAUGAAGACUAGCAUGGUUACCUGUUUUUGUAGAAUUUUAGCUUUUGGUGUAAAUACACAAUUGUUUUUUUUGUAUGUUAAUUUGGUGAAAAUGAAGUAGUUUAGCUGCUAAUCAUAUUUUUCUGGAAUGAACGAUUGCACCCCCAAAAUCAGUUGAGGGAACUUAAGAGUUGUACGGAGUGACUAGAUUAGAUUCUGAGAAUUUAUUAUCAUAGUGAUGAAUCAAGCAUAUCCUUCUAGGCUGAAAUUUAUUUUAUCAAUUCCUGAAAUGCACUUUGAACUGAUUGUUGAUUAUAGAUAGUGUCAUGUGAUAUCCACCAUGGAGAAAUUUUUCAUAGACAUUUUAAUAACUUAUGGUGCAUUUACUGUGUUAUUAGUAACGCCACAGAGAUGGUAAGCUCUAGAUGAAUUUGCCACUGUACAUGGCAUUGGAUGAAAGUUUUAUAUUGCAUGCCUUUUUGAUCUUAAGUUUUUCUUUUGUUUGGGUUCAGAGAGACUUCAAAAAUGUAGCCAAUAAUAUGGCUAAGUGCUGCUGUCUAUAAUUCAGUACUGAUCUGUAACAGUUUACCAUCAUGGUAGGACCAUAUAGGCUGUUAAGACAAUUAAAUACAUUUCAUGCUUGUGAAUGAAAAAUAGGAGAAGCUUUAUGCUUUAUUCAGUUGCUGCAAAAUUAGAGAGAAGAGAUAGGAGUUUGAUAUGACAGAUUUGGGUUUUUUUAUUUAACAAUAAUGGGGUUGGAGAAUAGGACUAAAAGUUGAAAUUUUGGAUUCUGACAUGGUUAUUGCUGAAUCACAGAGAUUCAGGCUGCUGGUAGUACAUAUGGAAACUAUUUUUGUGUAACAACUUAUGGAGAAUCUCAUGGAGGUGGUGUUGGUUGCAUCAUUGAUGGAUGCCCUCCUAGACUUCCCUUAUCAGAAGCUGAUAUGGAAGUUGAACUUGACAGAAGGAUUACAGUGAAAUGUCAACGGCUUAUAGGCCUUCUCAUGCAGAUGCUACUUGUGACAUGAAAUAUGGUGCAAGAGCAGUGCAGGGUGGUGGUAGAUCUUCAGCAAGAGAAACUAUUGGAAGAGUUGCUGCUGGGGCUGUUGCCAAGAAAAUCCUUGAGACCCUUGCAGGAACCGAGGCGUGUUUAUUUUGUUGAGUUGCAGGCUCAAACUCUCUCUUUAUCCUGAUUCUUUAUGAUUACAAGGACUUUCUGUGUAAUGCAAACAUCUUGUUGUUGAUUUUUGUGAAUCUGUUCGCUCCUUGGUGUGUUUGUCUAUUAAUGUAGUUCCUUUCAUGUGUAAUUUUUGAAUUAAUUGCAUACUCACUUUAUUGAAUACUUGUUCGCAUUGAAAGGAAAAUCAUGAUAAUAAUACGUGAUAAAUUGUGACUUGUCCCAAAAGUGUAAGCUAUUAGGAAAUGGUGAAUUUAAUCACAUAACUAUAAUUCAAAAACACUCCCACAUUAUAUAUGGGCCCAAACUUGAACUCUUUACUUUCAUAUCUGCUAUGGACUUAAUGGACUUUGUACAUAGUUGUAAGGCAAUUACUUUCAUAUCUGCUAUGGUUUUCCUAGUUGAAUGGAUCUAAGAGUGU